AAGCUUCAUUCUGUGGCAGAUGAUCAAAACUGUCUGACACAAUUUUAGCUUGCUAUAGCAACAGAGUCUAACCUAUUUCAGUUAGACUCUAUGAGU
ensembl:snoRNA